CAGCAGCCGCGGUAAUACAGAGGGUGCAAGCGUUAAUCGGAAUUACUGGGCGUAAAGCGCGCGUAGGUGGUUCGCCAAGUUGGAUGUGAAAUCCCCGGGCUCAACCUGGGAACUGCAUCCAAAACUGGCGAGCUAGAGUAUGGUAGAGGGUGGUGGAAUUUCCUGUGUAGCGGUGAAAUGCGUAGAUAUAGGAAGGAACAUCAGUGGCGAAGGCGACCACCUGGACUGAUACUGACGCUGAGGUGCGAAAGCGUGGGGAGCAAACAGGAUUAGAUACCCCAGUAGUCCCUGUCUCUUAUAC
rnacentral:rRNA from 1 species